UCUAAGAUGACAGAAUAAUGUAAUAGAUUUAAAAUCUAUAAAUGGGCUUUCCUCUUAGAA
rnacentral:tRNA from 1 species